CUGGAAGUGAAUCAACCCCUUUGGAAACACAAACACUUCACCUUUGGCAAUGGUCUUUGAAAUGAGCUUGUUUGCUGUGGUAACGAACCCAACAUCCAACGAACCUUCAAGCACGAAGACUAUCUCGGUGGCGCGUGGGUGAGUGUGAGGUGGGUUGAUGCCUCCGGGAGCAUAGUCAAUUCUAGCCAUCGACACGCCGAGGGUGUUAAGACCUGGGAUCUUCUGCACAUUGGCUAAAGUCACCAAAGAGCCGAAGGUGUUGUUGGUGAGUCCUGGCUUGGCUAUUCCGGCAAAGAAGAAGUCCUCCGCUGUUGCAUUUGCCGCGUCCUUGCAAGCGAAACCAUUCAUUUUCGCCGCUGCUCAUUCAUCAUAUAAUCGUGUCAAAACUCAAAACUAGCUUCAAUCUUCAUUAAGAGACAAGCUAGAAGAAAUUAAUGAAAGGGUUUGUACCAGAAGCGAAGUCGGCGACGCAGAUAUCUUGAAGCAUGUCUGGAUCAGCAGCUGAGUUGCCGAAGACGAUGGCGAAAGUCAUCACUAACAGUGCCAACAUAGCCGCCAUGGUUGUGUUAGAUUUCAAAGAGAGAAACUUGGGAAUGUGGGAAAAGGUAGGAAUGAGUAGGAAGUGAUGGGCAAGGUUGAGUAUUUAUAGUGAAGGGUAGGGUAGUUGAACGUCGAUGGCAAAUAUAGUGACGACUGAAUCAAUGUUUUGGAUGUUAAGGUCGUGCUGUUGAGAAGUAAAGCAUGGAGCUUGCCAUUGUUUGUAGAGCUUAGACCAAAAGCUAAGUCAUCGAUCACUUUGCCUUGCCUCUCUGGUUUUUGGAGCGUUGACCCCAUUUGCGUCGCCUUGCGCGUCUAAAGGAUCUGACCCCUCUUGUUCUUAUCUUAAUUUCUUCUCUUUUUCUUUAGUAACAAGUGAUCGAAUUGUAGGGUGUCGAAUCUUGGCAACAACACUUGUCCAAUUCAAUUGGCUCUAUGCAUUGACAAAAUAUUUGUAAUAUGGUUUACGGUGGUGUCUAAGUUGAGUAAACGAAAUAAAGAAGAAAAGGGGGGAGAAUUAUUGAGAUUCCCUUAAAAAGAAAACAUGGAGGUAGGUUUAUUUCGUACGAGUUAGAUCAAGUGAAAUUUUCAUCUAGAAGAGGCAUAAGGUAAAGUUUCAUUGUUACUUGUGUCUUUUUACAAACACUGCAGAUAUCUGGUCCCGCAGGUAAAGAAUUUUUCUUUUUAUUAUCCAAGAAUGCAAAAUAGUUAGGUUUGAUUGUUGGAACACACUAUUGAUCGAGUAGUCAUUGAUAAAAAAAAGAAAUAAUUGAGAAGCUUGAACUCCUCAAUUACUUUUGAUGAGAACUUCUCAACAUAAUUUAGUCUAGCUUUUCCUAUUUGUGAUUAAUAGCCCGGUUGACAUGGUAUAGGUAUGAGAAUGAUCAUGUGGUUGUGUAUUCAUGCAAGUAAAUGUGUUGUGCGUUAUUUAUCGUGUUACAUCAUUCAAAGUAGGGUAUGAGCUACUUCAAUUUUAUAAUUGACCAUUUAUAAUCAACUCUCGAUGUAAAGGACUAGCUUCUGUUAUACAUAAUAGCACAAAUAAUUACAAUUUACCUAACUUUCCAUUAUUUCAUUAGAAUUUCUAUACGUCGAUCGAUCGACCAUAUUAGUUGCCCGGUUUGCGUUUGUUGUUGUUUUAUUUACCAGCUAAUAAGUAGUUAUAAUUAAAAACAUCUCAUGAUUAUAGUAAGGCCAGAAGUAUGAAGAUAGAUAUGGAUAUAUAUAUAUAUAUAUAUAUAUCUCACCAAUGAAAUAAAGACAACCAUUUAUUCAGCUCUCAAAGCAGCUGGUUCUAUGUAUUGUCCUGCAUGCAUGAAAUCUUAACACUAUUACACUAGUUAAUUAAGCUUGAUUAAGGAUAAGUUUCUUAAUAAACUUAUAUAUGCUAUAUAUAGACAAAAAUGCUGUUUAUAUAUAUAUAGCUCGAAUUUUUGCUAAGAGAGUGAGACAAAGGUUUUCCUUAUUGUUUGAUUUGGUUGGAGAAAUGUUAUAAUGUAUGGUUGCUAAGGUACGAUAAAUUGGAUGAUUGGCUCUAUACUCCAAACUAUAUGUCCUAUAGUUCGACUUCAUUUUGCAAACCAACCGAUCAUUCGCAUUUUCUUUUUGUUCGUACUCUGUCAUCUUUCGGAGGUUACUUCUACCAAUGUGGCUCUUCUGUUAUCUGUUUUGCAGUAGAGUCAUCAUUAUCGUACUCAUCAGCAACCAGCUCCUUAUUUAGUUGGAGGAUGCAUGGUCUCUAUCAUCAAUCAUGUUCUUUUAUAUCAAACUGCUACUUUCAAUAUAUUCUAAAGCAAAAAUUAUAAUCAAUGUAGGCUGCGAGUCUGUAACUGAUAUAAGCCUUGUCAACAUCUUAAUUAGGUAAGCUAAUCCGGAAAAGAGUAUAUGCCUUAAUUGUUUUAGAGAAUAUAUAUGUCCAAUUUAGACUUUAACCAGAUGUGGCGGGACGUCGUUUAAGCUCGACUUCCAGAAUACUAGCUUGUGAAGUUUACUUGUGAUUAUUAUUGAUUAACCGAGAUAAUAAAGAAUUUCCAUUAAGAAAAUCAGAUUUGUAUUCUGGUUUCUGCUUGGGUCAGUUGGGUGAUACACUGAUACUUCACUGUUUGUUAUGCUCUCUUCAACAUUUGGUAAUUAGUGAAUGUUAGAAUAUCUUGAGUUCAUUCAUCUGACCUCUAAUGGCAUUGACAUUCGAACAAUAACGUACUUGAAGUUUUUAUUCAAGUCAUGGAUCGAUCUCUGAUUGAAACUGAUUAAAAGAGUUGACUCUCCUACUCAUCCAAUUAUCCAAAUAAUAUGACUGGAUCAGGAUUAGGAUUGGAACCCUUCUUCCGGAGGAACACAGAUGCAUCAUUUUUAUGGAAAAUUCUGCUAUACCGAAUGGUAUAACAUCUCUUCAACCAACCGCCACCCCCUUUAGUUAGAUGUAUACGGUAUAGCAGACAAACCCAUUUUUAUAUGGAAAAGACAGAAUCUCAACACAUCUUCCGACUUCAUGUUCUACUUGUAUUUUAUUUUUUUAAUAUAAGAAUAAACUCAUGAACUAUAUAUCAAAAUAUUAAAGCAAUGGAAUUGAAUAUGUGCGAUUAGUACUUAAAAAGGAUAAUUUCCCUUAAGAUAAUAUAUUUUAGGUAGUACACUUAUAUAGAUAUUACGUUGUAGUACACAUGUCAAAAUGUUAGGUUCUUCCAUUUAGCAAUUUACACUAACUAGAUUGGCAAAUGGUCUAAUUCAAAUUGCUAAGAGUAGAAUUGGUCUCCUCAAAUCGGAAGCAAAUCUUCCUUUCUAUCUUUUCCUAAAAGGAAGAAGUAGCAGCUAGCUAAUUGAUCAUCAGAAUCUACUUCGAUCAAGAGCAAAAUUGUCCAACUCCAAUGCUAAUUCGAGCUCGCUCUUGAAAAUAUUUACGUGCCAGAGAUGAUAAAAUCACCUAGGCACUAGUUUUUAACUUCUUCAACUUCAUCAACUUUAUAAAUAGUAAGAGGGAUCGAUUUGUGUUUGCAUAGUCAACUUAGAGACUCAUGAAAGGAGAGGGAUCGAUUUGCCAAGAUUAACUGAAAUUGGAAAUCUGCUAGAUGCUUUUAAUGAUUGGCUGCAGUUGGGCGCAAACCUCAAACAAAGAAAAUAAAAUUUCCACAACCCACGUCAAUUUGCAAAACAAACACAAGUGAAAUAAAUAACGUACAAACAUGCAUAAAGAGAAGAAAUAAUUAAGCUAUAUAUAUCUACUACUUGGGUGCAAGCCUUGACUUGAUCUUCUCGAUCUGCUUGGUGCCAACUUGGAAUGUCUUAGUCAACACAUCAUCUGCCACUGGAGGUGUGGCGGCAAACAAGGUGAGGGCAAUGUUGGCGGUACCCUGCAACUGAGAGUUAAAUCCGGCGAUCACAGCAGCAGGGACCUUGCCAUUGUUCUUCUGGAAAUGAACCAACCCCUUUGGAAACACAAACACCUCACCUUUGGCAAUGGUCUUGGAAAUGAGCUUGUUUGCUGUGGUGAUGAACCCAACAUUCAGUGCACCUUCAAGAACAUAGACUAUUUCCGUGGCGCGUGGGUGAGUGUGAGGUGGGUUGAUGCCUCCGGGAGCAUAGUCAAUGCGAGCCAUCGACACGCCAAGAGUGUUAAGCCCUGGAAUCUUCUGCACAUUGGCUGCAGUCACCAAAGAGCCGAAGGUGUUGUUGGUGAGUCCUGGCUUGGCCAGUCCGGCGAAGAAGAAGUCCUCCGCUGUUGCAUUUGCCGCGUCCUUGCAAGCGAAACCAUUCAUUUUCGCCGCUGUUCAUUCGUCAGAGUUAGAUUUGGAUCAAACUUU
rnacentral:lncRNA from 1 species